UUAAAACCCAAAGGACUUGGCGGUGCUUUAGAUCCACCUAGAGGAGCCUGUUCUACAACCGAUAACCCUCGUUAAACCUCACCUUUUCUUGUCUUGUCCGCCUAUAUACCGCCGUCGUCAGCCUACCCUGUGAAGACCCCAUAGUAAGCAAAAUCGGCAAAGCCAAAAACGCCAGGUCGAGGUGUAGCGAAUGAAAAGGGAAGAAAUGGGCUACAUUCAAUAACCUUUAAUGAACACGAAUGGUAUUCUGAAAAGCAUACCUGAAGGAGGAUUUAGAAGUAAGCGGGGAACAGAGUGCUCUGCUGAAAUUGGCCCUGAAGCGCGUACACACCGCCCGUCACUCUCCCCAGGACUCACAAAUGUAUAUUACUAAUAAGCUAAAAUUGCAAAGGGGAGGCAAGUCGUAACAUGGUAAGUGUACCGGAAGGUGCGCUUGGUAAAAC
rnacentral:rRNA from 1 species